rnacentral:rRNA from 1 species
CAAGGUCUCUGCAUCCUAGAGAUAGGGCUUCUCCUUCGGGAGCAGAGUGACAGGUGGUGCAUGGUUGUCGUCAGCUCGUGUCGUGAGAUGUUGGGUUAAGUCCCGCAACGAGCGCAACCCUUGAUCUUAGUUGCCAUCAUUAAGUUGGGCACUCUAAGGUGACUGCCGGUGACAAACCGGAGGAAGGUGGGGAUGACGUCAAAUCAUCAUGCCCCUUAUGACCUGGGCUACACACGUGCUACAAUGGACGGUACAAAGAGCUGCAAGACCGCGAGGUGGAGCUAAUCUCAUAAAACCGUUCUCAGUUCGGAUUGUAGGCUGCAACUCGCCUACAUGAAGCUGGAAUCGCUAGUAAUCGCGGAUCAGCAUGCCGCGGUGAAUACGUUCCCGGGUCUUGUACACACCGAACG